UACGGGGGGGGCAAGCGUUGUUCGGAAUUACUGGGCGUAAAGGGCUCGUAGGCGGCCAACUAAGUGGAUGUGAAAUCCCUAGGCUUAACCUGGGAACUGCAUCCGAUACUGGAUGGCUUGAAUCCGGGAGAGGGAUGCAGAAUUCCAGGUGUAGCGGUGAAAUGCGCAGAUAUCAGGAGGAACACCAAUGGCGAAGGCAGCUCGCUGGGACGGUACUGACGCUGAGGCGCGAAAGCGUGGGGAGCAAACAGG
rnacentral:rRNA from 1 species